rnacentral:rRNA from 1 species
GUGCCUACGGGACGCAGCAGUGGGGAAUAUUGCACAAUGGGGGGAACCCUGAUGCAGCGACGCCGCGUGGGUGAAGGAGUAUUUCGGUAUGUAAAGCCCUAUCAGCAGGGAAGAACAAUGACGGUACCUGACUAAGAAGCACCGGCUAAAUACGUGCCAGCAGCCGCGGUAAUACGUAGGGGGCAAGCGUUAUCCGGAUUUACUGGGUGUAAAGGGAGCGUAGGCGGCAAGGUAAGCCAGAAGUGAAAGCCCGCGGCUCAACUGCGGGACUGCUUUUGGAACUAUCUAGCUAGAUUGCAGGAGAG